AGCUGUAGCUCAGUGCUAAGAACAUCUGCUUUGCAUGCAGAAGGUCCCAGGUUCCAUCCCUGGGUAGGGCUG